rnacentral:lncRNA from 1 species
GACGGCCCAGAUCAAGCGUGCGAUCGGACGGUCCAGAUUCAAUCAAAAACGGACGGCCCAGAUUAAAACAAAAUGGACGGCUGAGAUCAAAAGGCAAAGGGUUAUAAAUAGAACCCCCACACCAGACCACAAACCCUAGCCGCCUGCCGCUCGCCAGAGAAGACGAACCAGAAGCCGGCCGCCGCCACCCGCCGCCGCACCGGGGAAAUUUUUGACCGUCGAUC